rfam:Brachypodium distachyon strain Bd21 chromosome 3, whole genome shotgun sequence.
UUAUUACUCCCUCCGAUCCAUAUUAGUUUUCGAAAUAUUACAUGUAUCUAGACGCUUUUUAGGCAUAGAUACAUCCAUUUUUGGACAAAUUUGAGACAAUUAAUAUGGAUCGAAGGGAGUAUUUA